UUUUUUCUAAUUACCAAGUUU
rnacentral:piRNA from 1 species